GAAUGCAAAAGGGACGAUAUCACAGACAUUGGGUUCAUUGACCCGAACACAAUGCAUGUCAAAACCAUAGAUGAUCCCCUCUAUAACAAGGAUACACCGCAGACUUUGCUAAGGUUUUUGAAGCGACAACGUGACAAAAAGCUAAUACUUUGGCCUUACAACUUCGAGUUUCACUUUAUUCUUCUCGUCAUCAAUUUGGAAAUUGGAGAAGUUGAAGUCUUGGACUCACUAACCAAAGAAAAGGAUCUAUACGUGUCUUGUUUUUUAAUGCUCAGAAGCGUAUGGCAAACUUUCAUCAAGGAAGAUACGUCCCGUGAAUGGCCACCGAAGCUGCGAUGGCGUGCGAAAAAAUGCCCGCAACAACCUCCGGGGACCGAUCUC